GACGAACGCUGGCGGCGUGCUUAACACAUGCAAGUCGAACGAUGAAGCUCUAGCUUGCUGGGGUGGAUUAGUGGCGAACGGGUGAGUAACACGUGAGUAACCUGCCCUUUACUUCGGGAUAAGCUUGGGAAACUGGGUCUAAUACCGGAUAUUCUGCGUGAUCGGAUGGUUGUGUAGGAAAGAUUUUUUGGUAAGGGAUGGGCUCGCGGCCUAUCAGUUUGUUGGUGGGGUGAUGGCCUACCAAGACGACGACGGGUAGCCGGCCUGAGAGGGCGACCGGCCACACUGGGACUGAGACACGGCCCAGACUCCUACGGGAGGCAGCAGUGGGGAAUAUUGCACAAUGGCGGGAAACCCUGAUGCAGCGACGCCGCGUGGGGGAUGACGGCCUUCAGGUUGUAAACCUCUUUCAGCACGGAAGAAGCUAAAGUGACGGUACCUGCAGAAUAUGUACCGGCUAACUACGUGCCAUUAGCUCGCGUGAUACAUAUGGUACCAGCGUGGUCGGGAAUUAUUAGGGCGUAAGAGCUCGUAGGUGGUUUGUCGCGUCUGCUGUGGAAACGUGCCGCUUAACGGUGCGCGUGCAGUGGGUACGGGCGGACUAGAGUGCAGUAGGGGAGUCUGGAAUUCCUGGUGUAGCGGUGAAAUGCGCAGAUAUCAGGAGGAACACCGGUGGCGAAGGCGGGACUCUGGGCUGUUACUGACGCUGAGGAGCGAAAGCAUGGGGAGCGAACAGGAUUAGAUACCCUGGUAGUCCAUGCCGUAAACGUUGGGCACUAGGUGUGGGGUCCAUUCCACGGAUUCUGCGCCGUAGCUAACGCAUUAAGUGCCCCGCCUGGGGAGUACGGCCGCAAGGCUAAAACUCAAAGGAAUUGACGGGGGCCCGCACAAGCGGCGGAGCAUGCGGAUUAAUUCGAUGCAACGCGAAGAACCUUACCAAGGCUUGACAUGCACUAGACCAUCGCAGAGAUGUGGUUUUCUUUUUGACUGGUGUACAGGUGGUGCAUGGUUGUCGUCAGCUCGUGUCGUGAGAUGUUGGGUUAAGUCCCGCAACGAGCGCAACCCUCGUUCUAUGUUGCCAGCACGUGAUGGUGGGAACUCAUGGGAGACUGCCGGGGUCAACUCGGAGGAAGGUGGGGAUGACGUCAAAUCAUCAUGCCCUUUAUGUCUUGGGCUUCACGCAUGCUACAAUGGCCGGUACAGAGGGUGGCGAUACCGUGAGGUGGAGCGAAUCUCUUAAAGCCGGUCUCAGUUCGGAUCGUAGUCUGCAACUCGACUACGUGAAGUCGGAGUCGCUAGUAAUCGCAGAUCAGCAAUGCUGCGGUGAAUACGUUCCCGGGCCU
rnacentral:rRNA from 1 species